ACCUUUAGGUACGGAACAACUCAGAGAAAUUUGGGCUAAUACCGUAUGUGAUCUUCGGAUUAAAGAUUUAUCGCCUAAGGAUGGGCCCGCGUUAGAUUAGCUAGUUGGUGAGGUAAUGGCUCACCAAGGCGACGAUCUAUAGCUGGUCUGAGAGGAUGAUCAGCCACACUGGGACUGAGACACGGCCCAGACUCCUACGGGAGGCAGCAGUGAGGAAUAUUGGACAAUGGGGGCAACCCUGAUCCAGCCAUGCCGCGUGAGUGAUGACGGCCUUAGGGUUGUAAAGCUCUUUCAGUAGUGAAGAUAAUGACGGUAACUACAGAAGAAGCCCCGGCUAACUUCGUGCCAGCAGCCGCGGUAAUACGAAGGGGGCUAGCGUUGUUCGGAAUCACUGGGCGUAAAGCGCGCGUAGGGGACUUUUAAGUCAGGGGUGAAAUCCCGAGGCUCAACCUCGGAACUGCCUUUGAUACUGGAAGUCUUGAGUUCGAGAGAGGUGAGUGGAAUACCGAGUGUAGAGGUGAAAUUCGUAGAUAUUCGGUGGAACACCAGUGGCGAAGGGGCUCACUGGCUCGAUACUGACGCUGAGGUGCGAAAGGUGGGGAGCAAACAGGAUUAGAUACCCUGGUAGUCCACACCGUAAACGAUGAAUGCCAGACGUCGGGGGGCUUGCCUUCGGUGUCACACCUAACGGAUUAAGCAUUCCGCCUGG
rnacentral:rRNA from 1 species